rnacentral:rRNA from 1 species
GACGAACGCUGGCGGCGCGCUUAACACAUGCAAGUCGAACGGAAAGGCCUGCUUUCCCUUGUGGAUUGCGGGUACUCGAGUGGCGAACGGGUAAGUAACACGUGAGUGAUCUGCCCCCAACUUGGGUAUAAGCCUGGGAAACUGGGUCUAAUUCCCGAUAGGACUGCAGGGUGGUGCCUGUGGUGGAAAACGAUUUUCUAGUGGUUGGGGAUGAGCUCGCGGCCUAUCAGCUUGUUGGUGGGGUAAUGGCCUACCAAGGCGGCGACGGGUAGCCGGCCUGAGAGGGUGGACGGCCACAUUGGGACUGAGAUACGGCCCAGACUCCUACGGGAGGCAGCAGUGGGGAAUAUUGCACAAUGGGCGGAAGCCUGAUGCAGCGACGCCGCGUGGGGGAUGACGGCCUUCGGGUUGUAAACUCCUUUCGACCGCGAGGAAGCCACCUGGUUGGAAGGGUGGUGACGGUAGUGGUAGAAGAAGCACCGGCUAACUACG